rnacentral:rRNA from 1 species
GAUGAACGCUGGCGGCGUGCCUAAUACAUGCAAGUCGAGCGAACGGACGAGAAGCUUGCUUCUCUGAUGUUAGCGGCGGACGGGUGAGUAACACGUGGAUACCCUACCUAUAAGACUGGGAUAACUUCGGGAAACCGUAGCUAAUACCGGAUAAUAUUUUGAACCGCAUGGUUCAAAAGUGAAAGACGGUCUUGCUGUCACUUAUAGAUGGAUCCGCGCUGCAUUAGCUAGUUGGUAAGGUAACGGCUUACCAAGGCAACGAUGCAUAGCCGACCUGAGAGGGUGAUCGGCCACACUGGAACUGAGACACGGUCCAGACUCCUACGGGAGGCAGCAGUAGGGAAUCUUCCGCAAUGGGCGAAAGCCUGACGGAGCAACGCCGCGUGAGUGAUGAAGGUCUUCGGAUCGUAAAACUCUGUUAUUAGGGAAGAACAUAUGUGUAAGUAACUGUGCACAUCUUGACGGUAACUAAUCAGAAAGCCACGGCUAACUACGUG